GAACUACAAUUCAAGACGCGAUUUGGGUGGGGACAUAGCAAACCGUAUCAGGCAUGAAGCCAGAAUAUACUACUGGGACAUCUGUGGGUAUGUAUCCACAUCUGCAGAUCUGUGGAUAACCCAGGGCCUCAUGUUUCUGCAGUCAUAUCUGGGAAAGAAAGACAAGGCAUGGUGAGGAGCUGAAACCAAGACUACCACAUGAAAUUGAAUCCUUCAAGUGAUUUUUAUCCCCAGUGAAAAGGUCAAGAGGAAAAAUCAAAAACAAAAAAAUCUGAUCUCUGCGUGAAUUGAAAAAAAAGGAAUUCAUUACUUAAGGUCUGUGCUCCAAGCUGGAAGGGACAGUUAUUCAGCAGAUGGACAUUAAAAGAGGAAGGAUCAAAGGGUGACAUCAUUGGAACUCAAGGUCUAGUAAUGGAGAGCCAGGUGGACACCAGAAGGAUAAAAUUAAUACGAUAUUUUACUGCUACCAACAGGCAAGAAGACCAGAGCAAACACAGCUACAUAUGCAGAAACCCUCUAUCAGCUGGCAGUAAUUUGCCUGGAUUAGCCCAAAUGGCUUGCUUAAAUCCAUCUCAUAUAAUAUUACCAUGCAGAUUCAUGGUCAUCCUUGUACCAAAUCAAUGUGCUAAGCUUUAAAAUGAGCUGUGAAUCACAUGUCUAAGGUAUUUAGGCAGUACUGCUCAGUACAUUCUUUAUAGGUAAUGAAGAACUAAUUUUAGCUUUAUAUAAUUUCUUGGGCUUCAUUUUAAAUAUAAAAUAUUAAAUUUGGCCAGGCGUGGUGGCUCACGCCUGUAAUCCCAGCACUUUGGGAGGUUGAGGUGGGCGGAUUACCUGAGGUCAGAAGUUCAAGACCAGCCUAUCCAACAUGGUGAAACCUCGUCUCUACUAAAAUACAAAAAUUAGUCAGACAUGGUGGUCUGUAAUGUAAUUAGUCAGACAUGGUGGUCUGUAAUGUAAUUAGUCAGACAUGGUGUAAUGUAAUUAGUCAGACAUGGUGGGACGCCUGUAAUCCCAGCUUACUUGGGAGGCUGAGGCAGGAGAAUUGCUUGAACCCGGGAGGCAGAAUUUGCAGUGAGCUGAGUUCGUGCCAUUGCAUUCCAGUCUGAGUGACAAGAGUGAAACUCUGUCACACACACACACACACAAACAAAUUAAAUUUAUUAAAAGCACACACUAUAGAACAAUUAAAGGCACUAGCCUAAGUGCUUUGAAUGUAUGAUGUCACUUAACAUUCACAAUAGUCUUACAUGGUGGGUACUAAUGUUAUGUCCAUUUUGAAGAUAACGGAUAAAAAUUACUGAGACGUUACAUAAGUUUUUAAGGUGGUCCAGCUAAAAAACUGUAACAUUGAAACUGGGUUGUUUUACUCUGGAAUAUCUGAAACCAUGCUUGGAGGAUUUGGAUUGGUAUUGUAGUUCAAAUAACUUUGCAUAAAAUUUGUCUUAUUUGCAGGUAGUAAGUUUUGCUUCUUAUUGAUCAUUAUUUACAAAUCUCAUCAAAGUUAUAUUUGGCCCAAGUAAAGUAGACUGUUUUCUUGCUCUUUAGAUGAUUUUUCCCCGUUUACUCUAGAAUAAGAUCAAUAUUAUCCUGCUGGAUUUAAGUUCAUACUAUUGUGAUUCUAAGGAUAUACUAAACUACUCAGCAAAGUUCACCAAAUCACUUCAUUUUUGAAGAAUAAGAGUUAAAGAAAUCUGUACAUGUGUGCUAUAGUUUGCCUGUGUCCCCACCCAAAUCUCAUCUUGAAUUGUAGCUCCCAUUAAUUCCCAUGUAUUGUGGGAGGGACCUGGUGGGAGAUAAUUGAAUCAUGGGGGCAGUUUCCCCUAUACUGUUCUUGUGGUAGUGAAUAAAUCUCAUGAGAUCUGAUGGUUUUAUAAGGGGUUUCCCCUUAUGUGUGGCUCUCAUUCUCUCUUGCCUGCCACCAUGUAAGACGUCCCUUGCUCUCCUGCCAUGAUUGUGAGGUCUCCCUAGCCACGUGGAACUGUGAGUCCAUUAAACCUCUUUUUCUUUAUAAAUUACCCAGUCUUGGGUAUGUCUUUAUGAGCAGCAUGAAAAC
rnacentral:lncRNA from 1 species